GAGCGCGCUUACCACUUUGUGAUGCAUGACUGGGGUGAAGGCCUACCAAGGUACCCGUAGGGGAACCUGCGGUUGGAUCACCUCCUUACCUUAAAGAA
rnacentral:rRNA from 1 species